AGUGAACGCUGGCGGUAGGCCUAACACAUGCAAGUCGAACGGCAGCACAGUAAGAGCUUGCUCUUACGGGUGGCGAGUGGCGGACGGGUGAGGAAUACAUCGGAAUCUACUUUUUCGUGGGGGAUAACGUAGGGAAACUUACGCUAAUACCGCAUACGACCUACGGGUGAAAGCAGGGGAUCUUCGGACCUUGCGCGAUUGAAUGAGCCGAUGUCGGAUUAACUAGUUGGCGGGGUAAAGGCCCACCAAGGCGACGAUCCGUAGCUGGUCUGAGAGGAUGAUCAGCCACACUGGAACUGAGACACGGUCCAGACUCCUACGGGAGGCAGCAGUGGGGAAUAUUGGACAAUGGGCGCAAGCCUGAUCCAGCCAUACCGCGUGGGUGAAGAAGGCCUUCGGGUUGUAAAGCCCUUUUGUUGGGAAAGAAAAGCAGCAGGUUAAUACCCCGCUGUUCUGACGGUACCCAAAGAAUAAGCUCCGGCUAACUUCGUG
rnacentral:rRNA from 1 species